rnacentral:sRNA from 1 species
CACCGCCUGGGGAGUACGACCGCAAGGUUAAAACUCAAAUGAAUUGACGGGGACCCGCACAAGUAGUGGAGCAUGUGGUUUAAUUCGAAGAUACGCGCAGAACCUUACCAACACUUGACAUGUUCGUCGCGACUUUAAGAGAUUAAAGUUUUCGGUUCGGCCGGACGAAACACAGGUGCUGCAUGGCUGUCGUCAGCUCGUGUCGUGAGAUGUUGGGUUAAGUCCCGCAACGAGCGCAACCCUCACUUUUAGUUGCCAUCAUUUAGUUGGGCACUCUGAAAGAACUGCCAGUGAUAAGCUGGAGGAAGGUGGGGAUGACGUCAAGUCCUCAUGGCCCUUACGUGUUGGGCUACACACGUGCUACAAUGGUAUCUACAACAGGAAGCAAAACGGCGACGUUAAGCAAAUCCUUAAAAGAUACCUCAGUUCGGAUUGUACUCUGCAACUCGAGUACAUGAAGCUGGAAUUACUAGUAAUCGUGGAUCAGCGUGCCACGGUGAAUGCGUUCCCGGGUCUUGUACACACCGCCCGUCACACCAUGGGAGUUGGUUCUACCUUAAGGCAAGGUUUAAAACCCUUGACCACGGUAUAGUCAGCGACUGGGGUGAAGUCGUAACAAGGUAGCCGUAGGGGAACCUGCGGCUGGAUUACCUCCUUUCUAAGGAUGAAUAAAAAAAAAUUUUUAUUCUAAAUAAUAUACACGGUUAAUGUUGACCGUCCUCAUUUCUCUUCUUAAGUUAGUGUUUCUCUUGCAUGGGGGCCGGUAGCUCAGUUGGUUAGAGCACACCCUUGAUAAGGGUGGGGUCGAAAGUUCGAGUCUUUCUCGGCCCACCAAUAGAUUAAGGGGGAUUAGCUCAGCUGGGAGAGCGCCUGAUUUGCAUUCAGGAGGUCAGCGGUUCGAUCCCGCUAUCCUCCACCAAACACUUAGUUAUUUAAAUAGUGAAUAUGAAUAAUAAUUAAUAUCAAUAUCUAUAUCCGAACAUUAGAAAUGUUAUUAGCUAAUGUUCAAAAUAAAAAUUUGAUUCAACACAGAAUUUUUUUCUG